AAUUAUUCUAUCAAAAUAAUGCUGCUUACCUCAUUUUUGUUCAUCUAUAGCAUUUCUGUGGAUCGCAUUGUAAAAAGCAAAAGUUGCUGAAAAAAAUGCAUCUGUCAUAUUAAUUUGACUAGACAAAUCCCAUUUCUUGCCAAAACAAAAAGCCCAUAAAAGAGCUUAUAUAUGCAACAACACUAAUUUGCAGAACCUAUCAGACCAAAUAACCCUCCCAAAUGCAGUUCUUCAACUUCUUUUCCCUAUUUCUUUUUGUUUCUUUCCUCUUUCAAUUGAGGAAAUGGAAGAAUUCCAAUAGCCAAACCAAAAGAUUGCCUCCAGGUCCAUGGAAAUUACCUUUAAUUGGAAGCAUGCUUCAUUUGCUAGGUGGAUCUCCACAUCGUGUCCUUAGAGAUUUAGCCAAAAAAUAUGGACCAAUUAUGCACCUUCAACUAGGUGAAGUUUCUCUAGUUGCUGUUACUUCAGCUGAGAUGGCAAAAGAAGUACUAAAAACUCAUGACCUCGCUUUUGCAUCUAGGCCUUUACUUGUUGCUGCUGAGAUUGUUUGUUAUAAAGGGACCGACAUUGUCUUUUCCCCCUAUGGCGAUUACUGGAGACAAAUGCGUAAAAUUUGUCUCUUAGAGUUACUCAGUGUCAAAAAUGUUAAGUCAUUCAGCUCCAUUAGACAAGAUGAAGGUCUUCAAUCAUCUUCUGGUGAGACAGUUAACGCAACAAAAAGGAUUUAUCAAUUCGCAAGCUCUAUGACAUGUAGAUCGGCAUUUGGGAAAGUAUACAAGGAGCAAGAUGAACUUAUAGUACUAGUGAAAAAAGUGUCAGCCUUAAUGUAAGGAUUUGAUGUGGCUGAUGUAUUUCCAUCACUGAAAUUUCUUCGUGUGCUCUGUGGAAUGAAGGGUAAAAUUAUGGAUGUCCACCAUGGGUUAGAUGCCAUUCUUGAAAACAUCAUCAGCGAGCGCAAGAAAAUUGCAGCCGGUGAAGUAGGAGGUGAAGGUUUAAUUGAUGUCCUGCUAAGACUUAUGAAAGAGGGAGGCCUUCAAUUUCCUAUCACCAACGACAACAUUAAAGCCAUUAUUUUUGACAUGUUUGCUGCGGGAACUGAAACCUCAUCAACAACAAUUGACUGGGCCAUGGUAGAAAAGAUGAAGAAUCCAAGUGUAUUGGCCAAAGCUCAAAUAGAGGUAAGAAAAGCCUUUAGAGGAAAAGAAACUUUUGAUGAAAAUAAUGUCGAAGAGUUGAAAUACCUAAAGUUAGUCAUUAAAGAAACUUUCAGACUCCAUCCUCCAUUUCCCCUUUUGCUCCCAAGAGAAUGUAGGGAAGAAACAGACAUAAACGGCUACACUAUUCCUUUGAAAGCAAAAGUCAUGGUUAAUGUUUGGGCUAUUGGAAGAGAUCCAAUAUUGGGAGGACGCAGAAAGCUUUAAACCCGAAAGAUUUGAGCACAACUCUAUGGAUUUUGUUGGUAAUAAUUUUGAAUAUCUUCCCUUUGGCAGUGAAAGAAGGAAUUGCCCUGGGAUAUCAUUUGGUUUAGCUAAUGUGUAUUAUCCGUUGGCUCAAUUAUUGUAUGACUUUGAUUGGAAACUCCCAAAUGGAAUCUAUCCAAGUGAACUAGACUUGACUGAAUCGGCUGGAGCAACUUGUGCUAGGAAGAGCAACCUGUACGUGAUCGCUACUCCUUAUCAACCUUGUCAAGAGUGAUGUCAUGGCAUCAAUUCAUUUUUAAAUAAAAACUUGCUUUUGUAUUUGUAAACACCACCAUUGUACUUUCGACGCAAGAACAUUUCCAUCACAUUCUUCUUUUCAAA